UACGAAGGGGGCUAGCGUUGUUCGGAAUUACUGGGCGUAAAGCGCGCGCAGGCGGUCUUCCAAGUCAGUGGUGAAAGCCCGGAGCUCAACUCCGGAAUUGCCAUUGAAACUGUGAGACUGGAGUACGAGAGAGGUGAGUGGAAUUCCCAGUGUAGAGGUGAAAUUCGUAGAUAUUGGGAAGAACACCGGUGGCGAAGGCGGCUCACUGGCUCGUAACUGACGCUCAGGCGCGACAGCGUGGGGAUCGAAACAGG
rnacentral:rRNA from 1 species